GACGAACGCGGCGGCGUGCCUAAUACAUGCAAGUCGAACGCUUCUUUCCUCCCGAGUGCUUGCACUCAAUUGGAAAGAGGAGUGGCGGACGGGUGAGUAACACGUGGGUAACCUACCCAUCUGAGGGGGAUAACACUUGGAAACAGGUGCUAAUACCGCAUAACAGUUUAUGCCGCAUGGCAUAAGAGUGAAAGGCGCUUUCGGGUGUCGCUGAUGGAUGGACCCGCGGUGCAUUAGCUAGUUGGUGAGGUAACGGCUCACCAAGGCCACGAUGCAUAGCCGACCUGAGAGGGUGAUCGGCCACACUGGGACUGAGACACGGCCCAGACUCCUACGGGAGGCAGCAGUAGGGAAUCUUCGGCAAUGGACGAAAGUCUGACCGAGCAACGCCGCGUGAGUGA
rnacentral:rRNA from 1 species